rnacentral:rRNA from 1 species
GAUGAACGCUGGCGGCGUGCCUAAUACAUGCAAGUCGAGCGAACAGACGAGGAGCUUGCUCCUCUGACGUUAGCGGCGGACGGGUGAGUAACACGUGGAUAACCUACCUAUAAGACUGGGAUAACUUCGGGAAACCGGAGCUAAUACCGGAUAAUAUAUUGAACCGCAUGGUUCAAUAGUGAAAGACGGUUUUGCUGUCACUUAUAGAUGGAUCCGCGCCGCAUUAGCUAGUUGGUAAGGUAACGGCUUACCAAGGCGACGAUGCGUAGCCGACCUGAGAGGGUGAUCGGCCACACUGGAACUGAGACACGGUCCAGACUCCUACAGGAGGCAGCAGUAGGGAAUCUUUCGCAAUGGGCGAAGGCCUGACGGCGCAACGCCGCGUGAGUGAUGAAGGUCUUCGGAUCGUAAAACUCUGUUAUUAGGGAAGAACAAAUGUGUAAGUAACUAUGCACGUCUUGACGGUACCUAAUCAGAAAGCCACGGCUAACUACGUG